rnacentral:rRNA from 1 species
ACGCACGCUGGCGGCGUGCUUCACCCAUGCAAGUCGUACGGUAAGGCCCUUUCGGGGGUACACGAGUGGCGAACGGGUGAGUAACACGUGAGUAACCUGCCCACAACUUUGGGAUAACGCUAGGAAACUGGUGCUAAUACUGGAUAUGUGCUCCUGCUGCAUGGUGGGGGUUGGAAAGCUCCGGCGGUUGUGGAUGGACUCGCGGCCUAUCAGCUUGUUGGUGGGGUAGUGGCCUACCAAGGCGGCGACGGGUAGCCGGCCUGAGAGGGUGACCGGCCACAUUGGGACUGAGGUACGGCACAGACGCCGACGGGAGGCAGCAGUGGGGAAUAUUGCACAAGGGGCGCAAGCCUGAUGCAGCAACGCCGCGUGCGGGAUGACGGCCUUCGGGUUGUAAACCGCUUUCAGCAGGGACGAAGCUUUUUGUGACGGUACCUGCAGAAGAAGCACCGGCUAACUACGUG